ACACAUAAAUGCAGGAGAGUACUAAGUUUCUUUUAGAUCAGGUGGAUAACUUAGUGAACUUGGUAUAGCUGGUCUCUAGCACAUCUAUACCAAUUACAGAAAACCUCCCUUUGACUUCAUUGUAGUCAUUUCCUCUUACAAUUACUUAAAACUCCUUCAGGAUGUCUCCUAAUUGUUAUUUAAUCAAAUGUAAAUGCAUAGUAAACCCCAUCAAAA
rnacentral:misc_RNA from 1 species